GUUUUUAUAGCUUAUAUUAGAGUAUUUCAGUGAAGUUGAAAGGGAAACUUAUGUUUGAAGACA
rnacentral:tRNA from 1 species